CCCCCCCCCCCCCCCUCCACACACACACAAACACAAACAAAGAGGCGUUAGGCUGAGACGCUGAAAGUCCGGAUUUAAAGUGCAGAAAAUUAAGCCAUUGAAUCUGCCUGUCCAUGACGUACAAAGACACACUAUGAGCCAGUAUGAUCCGACCAGACCUUACAUCAGCAUUGAGGAGUUGUUGGAGAAGAAAGAGGCUGAUUGAAGCGGGACAGAUGACAUGGAUCCAUCCUUCCACAGCCAGGAGUGCACCGACCUGUGUCCCACACUUCAUAUAAGACUGGAAGCUACACUGAUCUCACAGCUACACACCACAGACGUCUACACACUGGAGAAGAGUCCCACAAAGAAGUCAUGACCCAGAGGCUGCAGAGAAACAUUUCAAGCCUCAUCUGAGUUUUUGUACAAUAUUUUUGCUGUAUGUAAAUAAAGCUUUCACUCCAUA